rnacentral:rRNA from 1 species
GAUGAACGCUAGCGGCAGGCCUAAUACAUGCAAGUCGAACGGUGUAGCAAUAGGGAGUGGCAGACGGGUGAGUAACGCGUGGGAACCUUCCCAUUGGUACGGAAUAGCCCAGGGAAACUUGGAGUAAUACCGGAUAAGCCCGCGAGGGGAAGGAUUUAUCGCCAAUGGAUGGGCCCGCGUAGGAUUAGCUAGUUGGUGAGGUAACGGCUCACCAAGGCGACGAUCCUUAGCUGGUCUGAGAGGACGAUCAGCCACACUGGGACUGAGACACGGCCCAGACUCCUACGGGAGGCAGCAGUGGGGAAUAUUGGACAAUGGGCGCAAGCCUGAUCCAGCCAUGCCGCGUGAGUGAUGAAGGCCUUAGGGUUGUAAAGCUCUUUUGGCGGGGACGAUAAUGACGGUACCCGCAGAAUAAGCCCCGGCUAACUUCGUGCCAGCCGCCGCCGUAACAC